UACAGAGGUCUCAAGCGUUGUCCGGAUUUAUUGGGCGUAAAGAGCGCGCAGGCGGUCGUUCAAGUCGCGUGUGAAAGCCCCCGGCUCAACUGGGGAGGGUCACGCGAUACUGAUCGACUCGAAGGCAGGAGAGGGUAGUGGAAUUCCCGGUGUAGUGGUGAAAUGCGUAGAUAUCGGGAGGAACACCAGUGGCGAAGGCGACUACCUGGCCUGUUCUUGACGCUGAGGCGCGAAAGCUAGGGGAGCAAACGGG
rnacentral:rRNA from 1 species